CCUGCCUUCCGGGAGCCUGAAGCAUGACCUGGCCGGGAGUAAGCCAAUCUGGGGGCAUCUUACACCUCAGUGGCAGGCCUAGGGCAGAAGUGCAGGGCAGGGUGCAAGAGGCAUGGGACUUGUGAGGCAAGAUGCUGCCUGGUCAUGCCCACCGGCAGUAUGAGGGGCCAGGUGCAGCUGCCACAGCCAGCAUGGCCAGCUGAGAAGAAGAGCUGUUCUAGGAAAGGCCCCUUCACAAAAGACGGCAAUAGAAUUCUAUACUCUCCCUUGUAAAGAUCAAAACCUGCCUUCAACAGCCAAGAUGUCUUAUAUUGAUUGCCGAGAUCAUCCUGGAUGUUCGUCAGUAACUUCAAGAGAACCACAGCUGAGUGUAUCCAGAGAGGCACUUAAACUGGUACAGACUCCAAUAUCAGAAACUCAGAUUAUCAAUAGGAAAAUCUCUCUCCUUCCAUGGAAUGCAUUUUUCCAGGAUUCCACUGGUGAAAGAAUGUGUUUCAUUCCUUUCUAUACUUUCCCUUUCUCUAAAUGAAAAGAGGAAACAAAGAAGGUUGCUGAGAUAUGUACUAAGGUAGCAAGAUGGAACUUUUACUAAGCAAGAUGGGUGUGUGUGUGUGCACACUUGUGAGCAAGGGGUCACUUGAAAGAGUACUGGAGACCUGAAUGCUGGUUAGAUUUCCACCCAGGACCAGAGUUCCAGAAGGAUGUGGAAACCACAGAUGAGUGAGUUACCCUCUCUACCGUGCAAGUGGAAGGACUCUGUGAUAAAUGGUUGGCUCACCAACCACUCAAAGAAGAAAACACUAUUGAGAAAAAAGAAGCAAGAAAGCUUCAGCAAGAGGCAGAGUGGACGUGAGUUGUCCUGCGUGCACCCUCUCCUUUCUUCUGGUGGAGUGCUCAGAGUCUCCUGGAAAACUCCGCCUUUCCCUCUGCCUUUCUCUAUGGUCUGAUGGGGUUGACUCCAUCCAUAGCCUCAGUCCAAAGCCAAUCCCCCUGGUAAGAGGGAUUGGUUUGAAGACGGGCAAAGACAUUUCCUGGAACUGAUGGCUGAAAGUGUCUCUUUUCUCUGCCAGAAUUGCUCAAAGGUGGAUGCCUAAGAAAGUGGCUGUAAGAGAGGAAUGCCAGCCAAGAAAAGAGGGAAACUGAGUCCUGAGGACCUGUUUGAGACCCUGGAUCCUGCCAUCCCUGAGUCUUGUGUGCCAAAAAAAAUCCUUGAUUUAUUGAAGAUAUUUUAAUGGGCAAUGGGAGGGUCUGUCUUUUGUAAUGGAAAGGGCCAUGACUUAUGCAAGGGGGCACAAGAUUGCCUAAGCUAUUUGAAUAGAGAUGAUUAUAAUUACGUGGAUAAUAACCCUUCUCUGAGACCCUGCUAGGCACUUCGCAAAUAUUGGUUCUUUCUCUCCUACCAACUUACAAGAGGGCUGUAAUUACCACUAUUAUACAGCUGCAAUCACUGCGGUUUUGUUAUUUGAGGGAUCUGACCAAGGUCAAAUUGCUUGUGAGUCGUGCAGUAGGGAUUCAAACCCACUUCUGCUUACUCCAAAUGCCAUGGGUUUGUCCCUCUGGCACAUGGUCUCCCCUGGAGAGAGAGGCUGAAUGAACACGGAGACAAAGAGGAGAACCAGACAACGUAGCUUGAUGGACAUCCAAGUGCUUGAAAGGGUUCUCCAUCAGAGACACACACAUCGAGGAGAGGGGUAUUAUUACAGGAAAGAGGAAGGUGGAGAGACAACAAGCCAACGAAAACAACACAACAACAAUAGCAAAGCAACAACUGCUGCUUGGAAGAAGCACUCUCCUCAACAGAAGGAAAGGGGGCUAGCUGAGGUUUAUUUUGUUCUUAAUAUGUACUUAGGUCUUUGGGGAGCAUAUGAUAGAAACAAAUCGGAACUAGCAUGUUACAGGAUACAGUCUUACAGAGCCUGAGGUCGUGGAGCUAGCUGAAUUCCAGAGAAGGUUUGGAAGUGGAGACCAGAAGACCUCAGGCUUCUAACUCUUAUUUCUACUUCUGCCUGCUUUCUAUUUUGUUCUUUCCUUCCUCUGUCGGCUUGCCCUCCUCUGCAAUCAUGGGGCAGAACCUGGCUGUCUCACGACUUCCUGGUUGGUGUGUUUCGGAGACCCAGCCAGCCACAGAGGCUGACUUUCUGUCUCAACUCCCACUUACCGCCACUUCCAAAUUACUCAGAAAAGAGUAACUGAUCGGCUUGGUGGAGUAAGCUGUCUAUUCUGGUACACUCCAUCCUGGGUCGCCCUUGGAGUGAAGUGCAGAGCGAGCAGUGCCAGGCCCACAGAGGAGGAGCCACGUGGGGCAGGCUCUGUGAUGUACUGCCCAGACAUCCCAUCGGGGAUUGGAAACCUCUCCCCCUCAGCUGGUGUCAGCUCCCUUCGGACACUGCCUCACUAGCAGUCAUUCCACUUGUAUGGGAAGGGGCCCUCUUCCUGUACCAGGGACAUCUCUGAAUCUCCCUCUCAGCUCCAGAGGUUCUUGUGGGCUGGUUUAGGUCUGUUUUGGGCUCUCCUCAAUGUCCUUCCCUUCUGUCUUACAAGAUCACCCUUGAGUAAAUUUCCUGCAUUCAAAUUUCCAUUUGAAUCCGCUUCCUGGAGAAUGCAACCCAUGACAGUUAGUUCCAAGAAUUGCCUGAGAAAGAACACACUAAGAUGAGAAAAAUGAGAUGCGGAUCAAUUCUUAAGUUGCUCAAGACCAGACCUGUGGAUGGUGGAGCAGCCAGGAUGUCCGGUGAGGGGUGUGUGCUGGCAGGGACAGAGCUCCCGAUGUGGGACAGCCCCUCUGUGCCUGAGCGCUGGCUGUGGGGCAGGACACCCUGCCUGAGCCCUCUAGAAUCCCUGUCUCUUUCAGUCCUUACCAUUCCCUGAAAAGGAGAGUUUAUCAUGACAGUUACACAUCAAGAUGUCAGGCUCAGCGACAAGAUGGCCAUUUGAGCGGCAUGUCAUUGACAGAAAAAUGCAGGUGAAGGACCAUCAUCACAACAACAGCCACAUUUUAAGUGUCACAUACACUGAUUAUUAUUGUUGUUGUUUGACACUGACUUGCAGCCCUGUUCUAUGCACUUUUCCUGUAUAUUGCAUCCUCAUAGCCAGCCCAUGAGUCUUUCCGAAAGCAUAGAGUGCCAGACAUCAUGUGAGGUGCUGGGAUACAGCAGGGGACAAAAUAAGUCCUACAGUCUAGUGGAAGGGACAGAAAAUUGUAUAAUCAACCAAAUAGCAAAGCAAUCCUGAACUCUGGUAAGUGAAUUUAAAAAAUAUACAGGAGCUAUGAGAGCUAAAUCAUGGGGUGACACUUAAUCUGGGAGGUCUGAUGUGAGAGCAGAAGGAUGACAGAAAUUGGUUGGGCUAGAAGAAACCGAUUUCAAGGAGAGGAAGUGGUGUGUGCAAAGAUCCGGUGGCUGGAGAGAUUUGGGAAUUUCUAAAGGUGGAAAGAAGCCAGAUUUUGCAAGAGAACAAGUGGCUUGGGGCUGGGAGAAGCAGAAGAACAGGACCCAUGCGCCAUGGAUAGGAUCCUGGUCUUUAUCCUGGGUUAGAGAAAAAGUUUUCAGAUAUAAAAUUCAUACAAUCAUCCAAAAGCAAGAUUCAUAAAAAUAAUUGCUAAAUUGAAAUUCACUAAAAUUACAAAAAAAAAACUUUUGCACUACAAAAAACACUAUUAAGAGAAUUAAAAUAGAAGCUAUAGACUGAGAGAAAAUAUUUGCAAAUCACGUAUCUGAUGAGAUUAUAGCCAGAAUAUGUGAAGGACUUUCGUUGGAUGACAGGCAGACUUUUGAUGGUGAACACGAUGUAGUCUAUGCAGAAGAUGAAAUAUAACGAGGUACACUUGAGAUUUAUAUAAUGUUAUAAACCAAUGAAAAGAAAAAAAAAGAACCUUCUUCAAAGUCAACAAAAAAAUAAACGGCACAAUUAAAAGUGGGCAAAAGAUUCAAACAGACCCUUCACCAAAGAAGACAUAUGGAUGGUGAGCAAACACACGAAAAGUUGCUCAACAUGAUUAGUCAUUCUGGAUAUGCAAAUUAAAACCUCCAUAAGACAUCACUACACACUUGUUAACAUGGUUUAAAAGCAAAAACAGCCGACAAGACCAAGUGCUGGUGAGGAUAUGAGGCAACCAGAACUCUCAAUACAUUGCUGAUGAGAACUCAAAAUGGAACAGUCACUCUGGAAACAAGUCUGGAGCUUCUUCUCAUGUUAAAUAUACACUUAACAUAGGACCCAGCGAGCUCAUUCCUACAUAGUUAACUCAGAGAAGUAAAAACUUAAGUCACCCAGAAAUCUGACCAUAAAUGCUUAUAGCAGCUUUGUUCAUAAUUGCCCCAAACUGGAAACAAUCUAAAUGUCCUUAAUGGAUAAACAAAUGCUAGCACAGCCAAACAAGAAAUAACGCUCAGCGAUGCCAAGGCGUGGUCUGCUGAUACAUGCAAGGACACAGACGAAUCUCAAAGGCACGAAGCUGAGUGAAAGGGGCCAGGCUCAAGAGCUACACAUUGUAGGAUUCCACUCAUAGGAAAUUUUUGAAAAAGCAAAAAUAUAAUGUUGGAGAACAGACUAGUGGUUGCCAGAGGUUAGAGCAGGUGGAAGGGGCACCAUGAGGGAAUUUUCGGGGUGCUGAACCUGUGCUGUGUCUUGAUUAUGGAAGUGGUCACACAAAGUGGUAUAUUAUUAAAACUCAUGGAACUGCAUCCACACAUAAAGCUGAUUUUCCUACAUAUAAAUUUUAACAGAAAGAUUUUGGUGGGACAACUAAGAGGAACAUGGACAGCUGGCUGUUGGAUUUACCAUGUGGAAGUCAUCGAUCACUUUGAAAAGAGCUGUUUUAGUGAAUGGUGCAGAUGGGAGCCUGUUUGGAGUAGAGUUGAGAGAAAUGUGAAAGCAGUGCUCCAACACCGGGAUGCACUGGGUCCCUCCCAAGAUGCUCCCUGGAUUGCAAAGGGCUGCUCCAAUUAGCCUCGAUGGUUUGCAUUUUCUCCAACCUUGUCCUCACGGCAGGCUGCGUUGUGCAUCUUCGUUUUGGAAGGGCCCUUCUCUCUCCAUGGGUCUGUCACAAGCACUAAAUGAGACGAACUGCUCUCGUUUAUUGAACACCUAUGACGUGUGCCUACAUUAAGAGAUGGGAUGUAUCAAGCCAUCAUAAGACAUCAUCUCCAUCCUGAAGACCCAGCUGAGUGGCAGAGACAGGCACCCAAAUCUACACUAACUGUGGGUUGGUGAUGUAAGUGGAGAGAUGCACGGGAGCUGCAGGACCCCAGAGGAACAGUGCCUGGGAGCAAACACCCUCGGAGGUAGGAAUGGGUAUCGCCAGCCUCAUUAUACAGGGGAGGCUCAGAGAGGUGAAGUCAAGCACCCAAAGUCACACAGCCAGAGAGUGGCCUAAUCAGAAAUCGGACCCGCAUCUGCCUGGCUCUUGCUUUCAUCUCCUGUGCCUCACCUGUGAACGCACCAGCCUUGGCACCGGUCCUACUGUGUGCUGUCGAUGCUCAAGUUCUCCCCCUUUCCUUCCUCUUCUCUCUGGGCCGCAGUCUCCUGGUCUGUGAAACAGCACGGUUGGGCUAGAGGGUCUCUGGCAUUGUGGGAUUCCAGCCUCUCCUCCUGCUGCUCACCCAUGGGGCUCUGAGAACUGCUACCAAGUGUCAGCUUCCCCCUUUCUCGUCUUUCAUCUAUAUGCUGGAUGCCCUCUGAGUAAGGGGCCUAUUCUAAGGAGAGGGCAGCCCUGCCUGGUCCUCAGUUCUGGGACGAGAUUUCCCAAGGGCUGAAGGUGGGGCUGGGGAGGAGGAAUCUCUGGGAAGAAGCCACUUCGCCGAUUGCCGGCAUUGUCAGGAGUUCUAAGAGGGGCGUGUGUGUGUGUGUCUGUGCCUCUGUGUGUAUCUCUGUGUGUGUGUGUGUGCGUGCAUGUGUCUCAAGCAUGAAGGAGGAGGGAAUCAGUCCUGCAGAGAAGGAGGCUGCGCUUGGGAUUGCUGAGAGUCCUGGGAGGUUGAGAGAAGUGCAAACUUGGAAAAGGAGGUAGAGACAUCCCCUAGGGAUAAGCUAGAAGAACCCCACAUCAGAGAGGAGGAGGAAGGGUCCAUCAUGGGAGAAGCUGACCUCAGCCUACCCUCCAGCUCCAGCUCCCAGCCUCCCUGUAGCACCUUUCACAGUUUGAGAUUUUCCCAGAUGCCUGUGGUUCCCUCACUCCCAACUCUUCCUCCAUCUUCUGCUUGGCUCACACUGUUGCCCUUCCUGGACAGCCUUGUGGUACCCUCGCCUGCAUAUGGCUAGCGCCUCCUCACCUUUGCAGCAGAUGCUGUUGGCGCCCUGCCCCAUCUCCCCUUGGCCUUGUCUCUGGUCACCUGCAAGGAAGCAAGGAGCAGUGACAACAGCUUCCACCCCACCCCCCACCACCUCCUGCCCACCAUCUGCUUCUCUGCCAAAGGGCUUUCUUAGGCAGAAGCUCACUCAACAGAGCAUAGGGCAGGUGGAACGUGCCAGAGAUCUGAUACCCGCUGGGGCAAACUUCAGCUAAUGAGAGAUGGGAAUGUGGGAAUAAAUGCCCAAGCUUCUUGGGCCCUCGAGGGGACAAUUCUGAGAUGUCUUCUGCACAAUUGCCGCUUGUUGGCCACAGGGUCACCUGCCCAUCAGUGCUCCUUCAGUGGCUUCUGUCCCUUCCCAAUUCACCUUCCCCUUGCUCUCACUUCCUGGGAUCACCUGCCAAGUAAGCCACCUACUCCGGGGUCCUCAUCGCAGGGUGUGUUCAGGUUGGGGGCAGGUACUAAGAUGCUUGUGAAGGUCUGCACGCUCCUCAGAGCCUUACCUGGUGGCUGGUGAGGGUCCCCACCUCAGGGAUCCAUGGCCUCCCAUGAUUUCCCAUCUCAGCACGUAGCACCAGGUGUGACCACGGCCUGUGUACUCCCGUCUCCCCCACCAGACUGUGCGCUCCUGGAGGGCAGGGGCUGCGUCGUUUUCAGACUCCAAGCGCCUAGCAGAUCGGAGAUUCUCAGUCAAGUUUUGCUUUUAACUCAAUGAUUCACUAAGUAUGUGGCUCAGUUUCUUCAUAUGUCAACUUGCCUAUAACAUCCCCAACCUGUAGGUUUCCAAGGGGAUAAGAGAUAAUGCAUGUCAGGUGUCACAUAAGACUCCUGGCAUAGGGGAGGGUCCUGAUAGAUUAUUAGCAUGUAUUAGGAGCUGACCUGCGUCCCCAAAACUCACGUGUUAAAGUCCUAGCCCGCAGCACCUCAGAAUGCAACUGUAUUUGGGGACAGGGCCUUUAAAGAGAUGUAUUUAAGGUACAGUGAGGUCUUCAGGGUGGACCUUACCCAAUAUGACUGAUGUCCUCAUAAGAAGAGGGGAUUAGGACACAGAGAGAGAGGGAGCCACCAACCAUGCGUGCACGUGAGGACCCCGAGAGGAGAUGACCAUCCACAAGCCAAGGAGAGAGGUCUCAGAGGAAGCCAGCCCUGGCCGCCUUCUAAUCUUGAACUUCCAAAGCCUGCAGAAUUGUGAGAAAAUAAAUC